rnacentral:tRNA from 1 species
AGCCCUGUCGUCUAGCGGUCCAGGAUGCGGGGUUCUGGUCCCCGUGACCCAGGUUCGAAUCCUGGCAGGGCUA